UACGUAGGGUGCAAGCGUUAAUCGGAAUUACUGGGCGUAAAGCGUGCGUAGGCGGUUAUGAAAGUUAGGUGUGAAAGCCCAGGGCUUAACCCUGGAUUGCACUUAAAACUACAUGACUAGAAUUCGGGAGAGGAUAGCGGAAUUUCCAGUGUAGCAGUGAAAUGCGUAGAUAUUGGAAGGAACACCAGUGGCGUAAGCGGCUAUCUGGACCGACAUUGACGCUGAGGCACGAAAGCGUGGGGAUCAAACAGGAUUAGAAACCCCGUGUAGU
rnacentral:rRNA from 1 species